UACGUAGGUGGCAAGCGUUGUCCGGAUUUAUUGGGUUUAAAGGGUGCGUAGGCGGCUUUUUAAGUCAGUGGUGAAAGCCGAUCGCUUAACGAUCGAACUGCCAUUGAUACUGAAAGGCUUGAGUAUAGAUGAGGUAGGCGGAAUUGACAGUGUAGCGGUGAAAUGCAUAGAUAUUGUCAAGAACACCAAUUGCGAAGGCAGCUUACUAAGUUGUAACUGACGCUGAGGCACGAAAGUGCGGGGAUCAAACAGG
rnacentral:rRNA from 1 species